GCCGACGUAGCUCAGCUGGUAGAGCAACGCAUUCGUAAUGCGUAGGUCGUAGGUUCGAAUCCCAUCGUCGGCUC
rnacentral:tRNA from 2 species